CCUACGGGAGGCAGCAGUGAGGAAUAUUGGUCAAUGGGCUUACGCCUGAACCAGCCAAGUCGCGUGAGGGAAGACUGCCCUAUGGGUUGUAAACCUCUUUUGUCAGGGAGCAAUUGGCGCUACGUGUAGCGUUUUCGAGAGUACCUGAAGAAAAAGCAUCGGCUAACUCCGUGCCAGCAGCCGCGGUAAUACGGAGGAUGCGAGCGUUAUCCGGAUUUAUUGGGUUUAAAGGGUGCGUAGGCGGAAUGCCAAGUCAGCGGUAAAAUCGCGGGGCUCAACCUCGCUCCGCCGUUGAAACUGGCGUUCUUGAGUGGGCGAGAAGUAUGCGGAAUGCGUGGUGUAGCGGUGAAAUGCAUAGAUAUCACGCAGAACUCCGAUUGCGAAGGCAGCAUACCGGCGCCCAACUGACGCUGAAGCACGAAAGCGUGGGGAGCAAACAGGAUUAGAUACCCCUGUAGUC
rnacentral:rRNA from 1 species